UUUGAAUUUCGGUCCUGUUUGUGUAGGAUAGGUGGGAGGCUAUGAAGGUGUUGCGCUAGCAACGCCAGAGCCAAUGGUGAAAUACCACCCUAAUAGUACUUAAAUUCUAAUCCUGUCCCUUGAAUCAGGGAGGGUAACAGUGCCAGAUGGGCAGUUUGCUUGGGGCGAGUCCCUUCUAAACUGUAACGAAGGGGUCCAAAGGUUUCCUCAUGACGGUUGGCAAUCGUCAGUAGAGUGCAUGGGCAUAAGGGAGCUUAACUGUGAGUCCGACAGGACGAACAGAUACGAAAGUAGGGCUAAGUGAUCCGGUGGUUGGUCAUGGGACUGCCAUCGCUCAACGGACAAUAGGUACUCCGGGGAUAACAGGCUGAUCGCGCUCGAGAGUUCAUAUCGACAGCGCGGAUUGGCACCUCGAUGUCGGCUCAUCGUAUCCUGGGGCUGAACAAGGUCCCAAGGGUCCGGCUGUUCGCCGGUUAAAACGGUACGCGAGCUGGGUUUAGAACGUCGUGAGACAGUUCGGUCUCUAUCUGAUGUGGGCGUACGAUACUUGAAGAGGAGCUCUUCCUAGUACGAGAGGACCGGAAGAGACGAACCUCUGGUGUUCCAGUUAUCCUGCCAAGGGUAAUGGCUGGGUAGCCAUGUUCGGAAAGGAUAAGCGCUGAAAGCAUCUAAGUGCGAAGCCUCCCUCAAGAUUAGGUAUCGAUUCCCUUCGGGGAUGAAGGCUCCUUGUAGACUACAAGGUUGAUAGGCUGCACGUGUAAGGAUCGAAAGAUCUUAAGCUAAGCAGUACUAAUAAGCCGAACGUUUGACCUU
rnacentral:rRNA from 1 species